CCUACGGGUGGCAGCAGUGGGGAAUAUUGGACAAUGGGCGAAAGCCUGAUCCAGCCAUGCCGCGUGUGUGAAGAAGGCCUUCGGGUUGUAAAGCACUUUCAGUGGGGAAGAAAGCCUUGGGGCUAAUACCCUCGAGGAAGGACAUCACCCACAGAAGAAGCACCGGCUAACUCCGUGCCAGCAGCCGCGGUAAUACGGAGGGUGCGAGCGUUAAUCGGAAUUACUGGGCGUAAAGCGCGCGUAGGCGGUCUGAUAAGCCGGUUGUGAAAGCCCCGGGCUCAACCUGGGAACGGCAUCCGGAACUGUCAGGCUAGAGUGCAGGAGAGGAAGGUAGAAUUCCCGGUGUAGCGGUGAAAUGCGUAGAUAUCGGGAGGAAUACCAGUGGCGAAGGCGGCCUUCUGGACUGACACUGACGCUGAGGUGCGAAAGCGUGGGUAGCAAACAGGAUUAGAUACCCUGGUAGUC
rnacentral:rRNA from 1 species